rnacentral:rRNA from 1 species
AUUGAACGCUGGCGGCAGGCCUAACACAUGCAAGUCGAACGGUAACAGGAAGCAGCUUGCUGCUUUGCUGACGAGUGGCGGACGGGUGAGUAAUGUCUGGGAAACUGCCCGAUGGAGGGGGAUAACUACUGGAAACGGUAGCUAAUACCGCAUAACGUCGCAAGACCAAAGAGGGGGACCUUAGGGCCUCUUGCCAUCGGAUGUGCCCAGAUGGGAUUAGCUAGUAGGUGGGGUAACGGCUCACCUAGGCGACGAUCCCUAGCUGGUCUGAGAGGAUGACCAGCCACACUGGAACUGAGACACGGUCCAGACUCCUACGGGAGGCAGCAGUGGGGAAUAUUGCACAAUGGGCGCAAGCCUGAUGCAGCCAUGCCGCGUGUAUGAAGAAGGCCUUCGGGUUGUAAAGUACCUUCAGCGGGGAGGAAGGGAGUAAAGUUAAUACCUUGGCUCAUUGACGUUACCCGCAGAAGAAGCACCGGCUAACUCCGUG